rnacentral:tRNA from 1 species
GGGCAUUUAGCUCAGCUGGUUAGAGCAUCGCGUUUACACCGCGAAGGUCGGAGGUUCGAAUCCUCCAGUGCCCACCA